rnacentral:tRNA from 1 species
GGUCUUCAUAGCUCAGGUGGUAGAGCACUGCAGCGCUAAGGCAGAGGCUAUGGGUUGAAACCCCAUUGAAGCCC